rnacentral:lncRNA from 1 species
GAUUGAGUACUCUUUCUCUUCUCAGCAUCUGGUCAUUAGUCUCCGCGAAACCAAGUUGCUAUCUUUCCUCCACAACAUGCAUCCUACGUAUGAUUACGUGGUUUCUUAGUGGUUAGUAUGCGAAUGCAUGCGCUACCACAUACAUCGUGGAUGGGGUUCGCCAGCUCCAGUGGCGCUCAGACUUGUCGACCAUUCCCAUCGCUCUCUCUCUCUCUCUGCUUUCCGAUCACCACACAUCCCUGACCAUUUUGCCGGCACAGCAUCUCCGUGGAUCCAUCGAAAGAGAUGAUGCUCUUGGAACCACAAAACGAUCUCUCUUUCCCCUACUCAAGUAGUAUCUGCUUGAAGACACAUGUUUCUGUUGCCUCUCCUUCACACACAAGCCUCGUCCUUUUGUCUUCAUGGAUACCUCGGACACUCCACCACAAGUCGCAGAGAUAAAAGCUCUUCUUCCUGCAGCUCUAAGAAAAGACCUUUCGUUUCUACGGCGCAUACGCGUCGUGGCUGAGCUUCCACCGAAGAAAACCCUUAGAAAACCCUCACCCUUCGUUA